UACGUAGGGUGCAAGCGUUAAUCGGAAUUACUGGGCGUAAAGCGCACGUAGGCGGCUUUGUAAGUAAGAGGUGAAAGCCCAGAGCUCAACUCUGGAAUUGCCUUUUAGACUGCAUCGCUUGAAUCAUGGAGAGGUCAGUGGAAUUCCGAGUGUAGAGGUGAAAUUCGUAGAUAUUCGGAAGAACACCAGUGGCGAAGGCGGCUGACUGGACAUGUAUUGACGCUGAGGUGCGAAAGCGUGGGGAGCAAACAGG
rnacentral:rRNA from 1 species